GUUAAGAAUGUGUUACCUUGUCAAGUCUGUUUGAAGACAUUUGAUAGACCUUCCUUGCUGAAGAGACAUAUGCGGACACAUACCGGUAAGUCAGGCGACAGAUAUUAAAAAGGAAAUCGGAAAAGUAUGGCAUCUGUCAAACCUACCAUAAGCCUCUCUGUCAUUGUCCCCCCGAUUACAUGGAUUCUUUCGCGUUUCAUUGACAGAUGCUAAAGUUAAUUAAAAAAAGUUAAUUGCUGAAAUCAUCAUCAAGUACGGAGAACCAUAGACAAUUAUGCAUGUUUCUGAGUGUUCUGUGUGUGUUUCUACAUUUCUUACUUCGACUCUGUAUUCAUUGAGCCAAGAUAAUAAGGUAUAUUGAAUACUUUGAUACUUUCAUAAAAAGAUGUUAUCCACAACUAAAACUGGAAUAACUUUAGUUACUCUGUACGCAAAGUAAACUCAUCAACAAAAGUGCCUAGUAGAUUUACCAGGCGAUUGAGUUGGCACUUCAUCGGCCAGAACAGUGUUUUUGUUCGGGACGUCCCAAAACAAAUGCCGGUUAGUGUAUUUUAUGAAGUCACUACUGGUGAAAUAACUAGAAGCUUUCGUUAUAGGUGAGAAACCACACGUGUGCGCUGUCUGUAGCAAAGGAUUCAGCACAUCCAGCUCUCUCAACACCCACAGGAGGAUACACACGGGCGAGAAACCCCACAAAUGUCCAGAGUGCGGUAAAUGUUUCACAGCCAGUUCAAACCUUUACUACCACCGAAUGACACAUACUAAAAAUAAACCACACAAAUGCCCAUGGUGUCCCCGCUCGUUCCCUACGCCGGGUGAACUGCGAGCACACGUCGCGACACACACCGCUAAACGUGUCUUGGAACAAGAUGGCGGACAAAUAUUUGACGUUG